AGAUCCGGGUUUCAGAGGCCAAGCGCCAGGUAAAGGAGUGAUCAUAAAACCACCAGUUUCAGUCUGCCACCAAGUGUCUGAUAUUGGGCAUCUUGCAUCACCAAUAAUAUCAUAGAACCAUCUCCAAGCAGUGGGAUUGAUUGGCUCGCCUACGCUUCCUAGAACUCGAAGAGAUUUACGAGAAUACCGAGUAACAUACUCG
rnacentral:misc_RNA from 1 species